AGCUCCAAUAGCAUAUAUUAAAGUUGCUGCAGUUAAAAAGCUCGUAGUUGGAUCUCGGGUGCCCGAAAGGGUUGAAUGUACGCCGGCGGUCGUGCUCACGCGCGUACUGCUGGCGACAGCCCACCUGAGUCGAUUUGCCGGGUCUUUGCUUCGCGGCGGGGCUCGGGGGCGUGUAAAAGCGCGCGCCUGGUGGCCUUUACCGGGUGCCGGGUGAGGUCGAUAAUUUUACCUUGAGUAAAUUAGAGUGUUCAAAGCAAGGUUGCUCGAAUAGUUGUGCAUGGAAUAAUGGAACAGGUCUCAGCGCCUUUCCGUUGGUCAGUGGUAGUCAGAGAAAUGAUUAAAAGGGACUGCCGGGGGCAUCGGUAUGGCGGGGGGAGAGGUGAAAUUCAUGGAUCCUCGCCAGACCAACAAUAGCGAAAGCAUUUGCCAAGAAUGUCUUCA
rnacentral:rRNA from 1 species